AUUGAACGCUGGCGGCAUGCUUUACACAUGCAAGUCGAACGGCAGCGCGGGCUUCGGCCUGGCGGCGAGUGGCGAACGGGUGAGUAAUGCAUCGGAACGUGCCCAGUAGUGGGGGAUAGCCCGGCGAAAGCCGGAUUAAUACCGCAUACGACCAGAGGGUGAAAGCGGGGGACCGAAAGGCCUCGCGCUAUUGGAGCGGCCGAUGUCGGAUUAGCUAGUUGGUGGGGUAAAGGCUUACCAAGGCGACGAUCCGUAGCUGGUCUGAGAGGACGACCAGCCACACUGGGACUGAGACACGGCCCAGACUCCUACGGGAGGCAGCAGUGGGGAAUUUUGGACAAUGGGCGCAACCCUGAUCCAGCCAUGCCGCGUGCGGGAAGAAGGCCUUCGGGUUGUAAACCGCUUUUGUUCGGGAAGAAAUCCUGUGGGCUAAUACCCCGGGGGGAUGACGGUACCGGAAGAAUAAGCACCGGCUAACUACGUG
rnacentral:rRNA from 1 species